UAAUUAACAAAAACACGCCUUCGUCCUUGUCCAAUCUUAUAUAUGAGCCCUAGAUGCCAUGGUACUACCCAUUGCAAAUUCUGUGUGCACUGGAAGAAAGCAUUAAUCAUGUCGCCACCUACCGUGAAUCUACAGACGAAACCAGAGGAUACAGAAAGAACAACCUCUAAACGUUCCACACAUCGUGUGUGUAUAAUAUCAACAUGUGUAGUUGUGGCACUUCUUAUUAUUGCUGCUACUACAUUUGGUGCCGUCGCAUACAAUCACCAUCUUUUUAGUAAAGAGGAAUACAAAUCCACGGCCAUAACGGAUGGGUACACUGUACCCGAACAUAUUCAUGUUGAUUACGACAAGGAGUUGAUUUAUGUCAGCAAUAAACAGAUUGGACCAAUAGAUGCUCUGAAUGCUCUUCACAACUAUGACCGAAAACUUCUGGCUUUUUAUGAUUUGACAACUAACCGAUGUUACAUUGAUCGCCUUGAUCAUACGUUUGAUGAAGGUCUAAAAUUUUGGUCAUCUCAUACCGGCAAGGACAGAUAUCCGCCGAAAGUUCGUUUUGACUACACACCAGAACCAAUCAACCUAGACGUUCUGAGAAAAUUUGCUGGUGCUGAAAUCGCCGAUCAUUGUAGAAAUGUGACGUCACACUGGAUGCUUAAUAUUCGACCGUACAAUACAGGGAACAGACAAAGGCGUGCAGUAAGACUCGAGGCACAGGUUUGCUGUGAAAAUUAUUAUUGUGGAAGUCAGCAAGUCGCGAUGAUUUAGAUUUAAAGCUACCGCCUUUUCUCUGCACUGUUACAAUGCGAUUACUUCUGGUAGUAAUUAUGUAUAUCUUUUCCCAGCAUAGAAAAAGUAUGAAUUUAUAUAAUUGUAGUUCCCAGAAGCCUUUGCCCCCGCCAGCAAUAUCAAUUCACCACUCCCGUUUUAUUGAAUUUUGAUAGAAAUCUUUGACAGAAUAUCUGAUUUACCAUUUUAUUGAAUAUUUUAAUGAUAAUAAAUACAAUUAAUUGUUAAUUCAGAAAUCCUGACUUUAUUUUUUGAUGUAUGAAAACGUAAGUGAUAUAUUUAUACCUCAAGCCCCUUUGAUCAACAAGAAAAAAAUUGUUACCUUGUCACCUACAAGUGUGGAAUAGAAAUAACGAAACUAUAAGGUGUUCAUCGUCAGGGACUGGUCUUAGAAUUUUCGAGGCACGCUGGUGGCUUAAUACCAGUAGUUAAAGGUGCAUUAUGUAAGAUUUAGGUAACGGGCAGGUCGUUCUUGCUUUAAUAGUUUAAAAAUAGAUCAUGGGAAAUUUAUUUUGAAAUUUUCAUUCAAAUUACUUUAUUCUGAACGAAGGUAUGAGUGUUUUAUAGAUAGUAUCAAGUUCCAUUGCUGCGAUAAUAAACAAAGUUUCAAUUUGAGCUUGUGCCGUACGCCCUUUAAACGGCCAGGUCAGUGAGGUAUUAUACUAUAGGUUCUAAUAUCCAUCUACAUUGUAAAGAUUGUCUUGUCAUAUCAUUCAGUAUCGUUCAGCUCUUUAAUUUACAUGUAUUAAACUUAUAUUAUAACA